CCUACGGGGGGCUGCAGUGAGGAAUUUUCCGCAAUGGGCGCAAGCCUGACGGAGCAACGCCGCGUGCAGGAGGACGCUUUUCGGAGUGUAAACUGCUUUUCUGUGGGACGAGAAUGGACGGUACCACAGGAAGAAGCCCCGGCUAACUACGUGCCAGCAGCCGCGGUAAUACGUAGGGGGCGAGCGUUGUCCGGAGUUACUGGGCGUAAAGGGCACGCAGGCGGUUCUGCGCGUUUCGCGUGACAGCGGGUGGCUUACCUGCCCGAGGAUGCGAAAGACGGUAGGACUUGAGGGCCAGAGAGGGACACGGAAUUCCGGGUGGAGUGGUGAAAUGCGUAGAGAUCCGGAGGAACACCGAGGGCGAAGGCAGUGUCCUGGCUGGUGACUGACGCUGAGGUGCGAAAGCCAGGGGAGCGAACGGGAUUAGAUACCCCGGUAGUC
rnacentral:rRNA from 1 species